rnacentral:tRNA from 1 species
CAGAGAAUAGUUUAUAAAAAAUUUUAAUUUUGGAGAUUAAUGAAAAAAGCUUUCUUUUUUCUCUGA